AGGUCAAUGGAAUCUGCCCAACC
rnacentral:siRNA from 1 species